GACGAACGCUGGCGGCGUGCUUAACACAUGCAAGUCGAGCGGUAAGGCCCUUUCGGGGGUACACGAGCGGCGAACGGGUGAGUAACACGUGGGUGACCUGCCCUCAGCUCUGGGAUAAGCCCGGGAAACUGGGUCUAAUACCGGAUAUGACUCCAUGACGCAUGUUGUGGGGUGAAAGCCUUGUGCGGCUGAGGAUGGGCCCGCGGCCUAUCAGCUUGUUGGUGGGGUNAUGGCCUACCAAGGCGACGACGGGUAGCCGGCCUGAGAGGGCGACCGGCCACACUGGGACUGAGACACGGCCCAGACUCCUACGGGAGGCAGCAGUGGGGAACCUUGCGCAAUGGGCGAAAGCCUGACGCAGCGACGCCGCGUGAGGGAUGACGGCCUGGUGU
rnacentral:rRNA from 1 species